GUAUGUUUGAAAGUUUGCAUCAUGACAGGGAAAAAGAAAAAAAAAGAAGACUUCUUUAACAGUUACUAGUCUUUUCAAAUAAAGAGAUAAUUCUAAUGACCAGAUUGGAAGUCUAAAUCAAACGUAUCACAUUAAGGAAUGUACCUUCAAGUUUGUUGUUAAAUUUUAAGUUGGUAAGCCUGACUUGCAGGCCAUUGAGGAUCAGAAUAAAAUGUGAUUUACUAAAGGAAUUGAAUGACAGCUUAUGGUCUGCAUUCAUUGCCACUGGAUAAUUUUUUUAAGACUUUAUUUUUUAGAGUCGUUCUAGGUUCAGAGCAAAAUCAAACGGAAGGUACAGAGAUUUCUCGUCUCUCCCCUGUCUGCACACUUGCAUAGUCUACCCUAUUAUCAAUAUUCCCCACCAGAGUGGUGCACUUAUUAAACUGAUAAAUUGUAUGUUGACCCGUCAUUGUCACCCUAAAUUGGUAGUGUACACUAGGGUUCACUCUCAGUCUUGUAUAUUCUGUGGCUUUGAGUAAAUGUGUAUGACAUAUAUCCACCAUUAUGAUAUAUACAGAAUACUUUCACCUCACUAGAGAAUUCUUGCUACUUCUUUGCUCCUGUUGAAUGAGGAGGUGACUCUGGUAGCCAUGUGUGGUUCCUUUGAACCUCAUGAGUGUGAUUCCCUAUAGGUAGAGCCAACGAGGAAGACUGAGGCCAGACCUCUCAUCUCACAGGGUACCUAGCUGUCCUCUAUCCCCACACCUCAGACUCCUCAGGAGAGAUGUCUGUGGAGCUGUGGAAAGGUACCUUCUUUAUGCAAAUGAAGAGACUAUGUGCUUGGAUUUUCUCGAUGACGAUUCCUGAUUCGUGGCCCUGGCAGUCUUGGGGAAGCGUUGUCGAGUUUCUUCAAUCCAGACCUUGGGGCCUCCUUUUUCUCCACAUCACUCCCACCCAGUUGAUCGAACCACUUUCUAGGACAUAUCUCACCGGACUUCUAAGACAUGACAUGGUAGCUCCUGGAUGCAUUGAAACAUUUGUCUUUCCUCUGUAACCCCAAGAAGAUAUUGCUGAUAAACUGGGUUUGGACACCUCUGCAAUAAAGAUAGUUCGUAUACCUGAUGCUAAAACA
rnacentral:lncRNA from 1 species